GUAAUGUCUGGGAAACUGCCUGAUGAGGGGGAUAACUGCUGGAAACGGUAGCUAAUACCGCAUAACGUCGCAAGACCAAAGAGGGGGACCUUCGGGCCUCUUGCCAUCGGAUGUGCCCAGAUGGGAUUAGCUAGUAGGUGGGGUAACGGCUCACCUAGGCGACGAUCCCUAGCUGGUCUGAGAGGAUGACCAGCCACACUGGAACUGAGACACGGUCCAG
rnacentral:rRNA from 1 species